rnacentral:rRNA from 1 species
AUGAAGACUCACAUACAACACUAUGUCAAGUGCUGUCCAACCUGUCAACAGGUGAAACCAGAUCGUGCCGCUUAUCCAGGGCUGCUCGAACCUUUGCCAGUACCUAAGGAAUCCUGGGAAAUGAUCAGUAUGGAUUUUGUCGACGGACUGCCAUCGUCUGGAGGAGUGAAUUGCAUCUUGGUCAUUGUCGACAAACUGACAAAAUUUGCCCACUUCCUUCCGUUGGCUCACCCAUAUACAGCUUCAGAAGUCGCCCUCCUCUACAUGAAUCAAGUAUACAGGCUACAUGGGUUUCCCGGCUCAAUCAUCUCGGACCGUGACCCGGUGUUUACCAGCCACUUCUGGCAGGAGCUAUUGAAGUAUGCUGGCACUGGCCUUCGAAUGAGUUCAACCAAUCAUCCGCAGACUGAUGGGCAAACCGAGCGUGUUAACCAAUGCCUGGAAACAUUUCUUCAGUGCUUCACCCAGGCCUGCCCCCGUCACUGGAGUUUCUGGAUUCCUCUUGCCCAAUUCUGGUACAAUUCUUCUUAUCACUCUUCCAUUGGCAUGUCUCCUUUCCGAGCGAUGUACGGGCAUGAACCACGGCAGUGGGGAAUCAUGGCAACGAGCGCUUGUUCGGUGCCAGCACUGCGCUCUUGGUUGGAUGAACGAGCAGUGGUGCAAGACCUACUACAGCAGCAUCUGAACCGAGCUCGGCAAGUUAUGAAGCAGCAAGCUAACAAGAAGCGUUCGUUCCGGGUGUUUGAAGUGGGAAAUCUGGUCUACUUGAAGCUACAACCGUACAUCCAGACCUUCGUCGCCCCGCGAGCAUGUCACAAGCUCUCAUUCCGGUUUUUCGGCCCUUACAAGAUCGUCGCUCGAGUGAAUGAUGUUGCCUACAAGCUGCUGUUGCCGGAGGAUGCACAAGUGCACCCGGUCUUUCAUGUAUCACAACUCCGAAAGGCUCUUGUCCCAGGUAUGGAGGUUUCUGCAGAUCUUCCGGUUCAUUCUGAUAUUCCUGCUGUACCUGUGAAGAUGCUCAAGCAGCGCUGGCGAAGUCGCCGGGGGGCCAUGGUGGAGCAAGUCCUCAUUCGUUGGUCCAACCCAGCCGCGGUGCCUGAUUCAUGGGAGGACCGUGCAGUGCUCCAAGCUCGGUUCCCAGCGGCUGAGGCUUGGGGGCAAGCCUCGACACAAGAAAGGGGGGAUGUCAGCACCCCUGGCCUAUAG